rnacentral:rRNA from 1 species
UACGAAGGUGGCAAGCGUUGUUCGGAUUUACUGGGCGUAAAGGGAGCGUAGGCGGCUCGGUAAGCCCUCCGGGAAAGCUUCAGGCUCAACCUGGAAAGGUCGGCGGGGACUGCCGGGCUAGAGGACAGGAGAGGAGCGCGGAAUUCCCGGUGUAGCGGUGAAAUGCGUAGAGAUCGGGAGGAAGGCCGGUGGCGAAGGCGGCGCUCUGGAACGUACCUGACGCUGAGGCUCGAAAGCGUGGGGAGCAAACAGG